rnacentral:tRNA from 1 species
GCCGGAGUGGCGGAAUUGGUAGACGCGCCGGACUCAAAAUCCGGUGGUGCGAAAGCACCGUGUCGGUUCGAGCCCGACCUCCGGUACCU